rnacentral:rRNA from 1 species
CCUACGGGUGGCAGCAGUGAGGAAUAUUGGUCAAUGGGCGCGAGCCUGAACCAGCCAAGUAGCGUGAAGGAUGAAAGCCCUACGGGUUGUAAACUGCGGUUAUAAAGGAAUAAAGUGAGGCACGUGUGCCUUUUUGUAUGUACUUUAUGAAUAAGGAUAGGCUAACUCCGUGCCAGCAGCCGCGGUAAUACGGAGGAUCCGAGCGUUAUCCGGAUUUAUUGGGUUUACAGGGAGCGUAGAUGGGUUGUUAAGGCAGUUGUGAAAGUUUGCGGCUCAACCGUAAAAUUGCAAUUGAUACUGGCAGCCUUGUGUACCGUUGAGGUCGGCGGAAUUCGUGGUGUAGCGGUUCACUGCU